rnacentral:rRNA from 1 species
UACAGAGGGUGCAAGCGUUAAUCGGAAUUACUGGGCGUAAAGCGUGCGCAGGCGGUUUUGUAAGCCAGAUGUGAAAUCCCCGGGCUUAACCUGGGAAUUGCAUUUGUGACUGCACGGCUAGAGUGUGUCAGAGGGGGGUAGAAUUCCACGUGUAGCAGUGAAAUGCGUAGAUAUGUGGAGGAAUACCGAUGGCGAAGGCAGCCCCCUGGGAUAACACUGACGCUCAUGCACGAAAGCGUGGGGAGCAAACAGG